AUUGAACGCUGGCGGCAGGCCUAACACAUGCAAGUCGAACGAGUGGCGGACGGGUGAGUAAUGUCUGGGAACCUGCCUGAUGGAGGGGGAUAACUACUGGAAACGGUAGCUAAUACCGCAUACCAUCAGAUGUGCCCCGAUGGGAUUAGCUUGUUGGUGGGGUAACGGCUCACCAAGGCGACGAUCCCUAGCUGGUCUGAGAGGAUGACAAGCUACAAUGGAAAGGAGACACGGUCCAGACUCCUACGUGAGGAAGCAGUGGGAAAUAUUGCACAAUGGGCGCAAGCCUGAUGCAGCCAGGCCGAGUGUAUGAAGAAGGCCUUCGGGUUGUAAAGUACUGUCAGCGGGGAGGCGUUACCCGCAGAAGAAGCACCGGCUAACGCCGUGCCAGCAGCCGCGGUAAUUC
rnacentral:rRNA from 1 species